rnacentral:rRNA from 1 species
AUUGAACGCUGGCGGCAGGCCUAACACAUGCAAGUCGAGCGGAUGAAGGGAGCUUGCUCCUGGAUUCAGCGGCGGACGGGUGAGUAAUGCCUAGGAAUCUGCCUGGUAGUGGGGGAUAACGUCCGGAAACGGGCGCUAAUACCGCAUACGUCCUGAGGGAGAAAGUGGGGGAUCUUCGGACCUCACGCUAUCUGAUGAGCCUAGGUCGGAUUAGCUAGUUGGUGGGGUAAAGGCCUACCAAGGCGACGAUCCGUAACUGGUCUGAGAGGAUGAUCAGUCACACUGGAACUGAGACACGGUCCAGACUCCUACGGGAGGCAGCAGUGGGGAAUAUGGGACAAUGGGCGAAAGCAUGAUCCAGCCAUGCCGCGUGUGUGAAGAAGGUCUUCGGAUUGUAAAGCACUUUAAGUUGGGAGGAAGGGCAGUAAGUUAAUACCUUGCUGUUUUGACGUUACCAACAGAAUAAGCACCGGCUAACUACGUG